rnacentral:lncRNA from 1 species
AUCCCUAUCUCCCUACAAUUUAUUGUUGUUUAUAUUUGAUUUUAGGUUCAGUAAUUGUUAUUGUUUGCAUUAUAUUUUCAUAAAAAAUGCUUAUUGUUUUAAUUUCCAUUCAACUAUAUUGAAAUUAUUGUUUAGGAAGAAUUUGGAGAAAUCCAAUUCACCCCCCUCUUGGAUCAACAUUUCACCUAAAAAGCUAAUAGCUAUAACCUUUUGUUUUGUCAUAAAAGUACUUUUUCUAAAC